GGGAUGAACUAUAAGGAAUGUCACCUCAAUGUCACUGCAGUGAAGGAUCGACCCGAACCUGAGACAACGAGUGACACCAGUCUGAGAUGGAUCGGCCUCUACUGGGCACUGGGACUGACAGCAGCUCUACUGGUUCUUUAUUCAUUCUAUCACUGCAUUGUUAAAAAAUAUUGCUGUGAUAGAGAGAGGAGUUAUGAAUCACCUGGGACACCUUUGGAUCUACGGGCAGAAUGACUGUGUUAGAUGUUGGAGGUUUUGGGCUGCACUCUGACAUCUUAUGCUUGCUUUUGUUCUAUGCUUCACAGAAAACAUUUUAUCUACUCUCAGAACCCAGGGAAUCACUGACUGAAAUGUAUACUACUCCUCGUGAAAAGUAGGGUGGGAGCCUUCAGUUAUUUUAGUUGUUUAGUUAUUAUUAGUUAUCUUUUGUGGAACGAGCUUCCACUUUCAGUCCGGGGGGGAAGACACAGUCAGCUCCUUUUAGAUAAAGCUUAAGACUUUCCUCUGUGAUAUUGCCUAUAGUUAGGGCUGGCUCAGGUUGGCCUGGACCAGCCCUUAGUCAAGCUGCUAUAGGCCUAGACUGCCGGGGGAUUUCUUAGGACACAGCAAGCUCCUCUCUCUCGCUUUGUCCAUCUACAAUAAUCCACGUCUCAUUAAUGCACAUCUCUAAUUCAACUUCUUCACCAGAGUUUUUGUGCUUUCUCGUUUCGCAGGUUUUCGUAGAUCGUGGUGUCUGGGUCCUGCCUCCUGCCUGGCCCUGCUAACACCUCCCGCGUCUAACACCAUUAUUACUUCCAUUACUAUUGCUAUCAACAUUAAUGUACAUCACAGACUUUGUUUCUUCCAUGUGUUUGUGCUUUGUCGCCUUGCAGGUUUCUGUCCGUACCGUGUUCCUGCCUCCUGCUGUGGCCCUGCUGACAACUGCUGCUGCUAUUAUUAUGAGGUCAGAUCAGUCUCAAUAAUUGCAAAUGCACACAGAACGACUCACAAAUGCAAACCGGAAUGCGCACGGAACAAUUCACAAAUGUAUUCGAUUUACAAAUUCACAGGGAAGGAUUUACAAAUGCAUUUCAAUGCACUCAUAAAUAAAUUAGGAGUUAUAUUUGCGGAUCCCAUUGUAUUUAUUUGCAGAUUGCAAAUAGUCACAUGGGUCUUUUGAGAUUUGUCUUUUCGCACUGGCAUCUGGUAGUGACGAUGAAGUUGAACAUGAUUAAUGUACCCCCCCCCCCGUGUUGUAUGACAUGACAUGUUCUUGAACUAUGAAUUAUCACUUUUGGUACGUUAUGUUAGCAGAGUAAAUUCCGUAUUCAGUUUAGCUCAGUUUAGCUCCAGCAGCUUAGUUAGCUAGCUAGUGUUAGUGCUAAUUUCUGCAUGCUAAUUUGUUUUUUCUGCAAAGUAACAUUUUGAAACUAACUAAGUUACAAUUAUGUAAUGUAAAAAUAACUGGUGUGUGACAGGGUCUGUCAACUAGCAGCACAUGUCUGAUCCUCUCUAAGUUACAUACUUAUUAUUUAGGGGUGUAACGAUUCAUUCACUGAAUCGAUUAUAAUCGAUUUAUAUUCCUGCGAUCCAAAUGAAUCGUUCAGCUCCGCUCAGCAAAUCGUCAUUCCGGACGACAUAUAUCGAU